rnacentral:rRNA from 1 species
AAUGAACGCUGGCGGUAUGCUUAACACAUGCAAGUCGAACGGCAGCAUGGUCUAGCUUGCUAGACUGAUGGCGAGUGGCGGACGGGUGAGUAACGCGUAGGAAUAUGCCUUGAAGAGUGGGACAACUUGGGGAAACUCAAGCUAAUACCGCAUGUACUCGAGAGAGUAAAGCUGGGGACCUUUAGGCCUGGCGCUUUAAGAUUAGCCUGCGUCCGAUUAGCUAGUUGGUAGGGUAAAGGCCUACCAAGGCGACGAUCGGUAGCUGGUCUGAGAGGAUGAUCAGCCACACUGGAACUGAGAGACGGUCCAGACUCCUACGGGAGGCAGCAGUGGGGAAUAUUGGACAAUGGGGGGAACCCUGAUCCAGCAAUGCCGCGUGUGUGAAGAAGGCCUGAGGGUUGUAAAGCACUUUCAGUGGGGAGGGGGUUUGGAAGGUUAAGAGCUAUUCAAAUGGACGUUACCCACAGAAGAAGCACCGGCUAACUCCGUGCCAGCCGCCGCGGUAA